GGUUCGCCCAUUGGUCAGGCUUAAUUGUUUGUACUGGUGAGAUGAAUCUCUACCUUCUGAGGAACUUUCAUGCCAUUUAUUUGGUGUGAUUGGAAAUCAGGACUGUUACUUUGAAAAAUUAGAGUGUUUAAAGCAGGCUAACGUCUGAAUACAUUAGCAUGGAAUAAUGAAAUAGGACGGACUGAUUCUAUUUCGUUGGUUUCUAGGAUCACCGUAAUGAUUAAUAGGGAUAGUUGGG
rnacentral:rRNA from 1 species